CGGUUUCCCCUCACACUUCUUCAUAUAUUUUGACAUUUUUGUCAAUAUCUAAUUUGAUACGACAGACUUUUCUCUUUCUAGUUGCGGACACAAGGAAUCAUCAACAACCUUUGAAUUUUCCCGGCAAAAAAGGUAUUUGUUGUCCUAUCUCAUUCUAUCAAUAAAAAGGAAAAAAGAUCAAAGGCAGUUUUAGGCGUUUAAACAAAAUAAAAGAUGCUGCCAAAAAGAAAAACAAAAACACGAUUUAGGAAUGCUUAAAGAAGAGAGAGAGCGAU